rnacentral:rRNA from 1 species
GACGAACGCUGGCGGCGUGCUUAACACAUGCAAGUCGAACGGAAAGGCCCUGCAUUUGUGGGGUGCUCGAGUGGCGAACGGGUGAGUAACCCGUGAGUAACCUGCCCUUGACUUUGGGAUAACUUCAGGAAACUGGGGCUAAUACCGGAUAGGAGCUCCUGCUGCAUGGUGGGGGUUGGAAAGUUUCGGCGGUUGGGGAUGGACUCGCGGCUUAUCAGCUUGUUGGUGGGGUAGUGGCUUACCAAGGCUUUGACGGGUAGCCGGCCUGAGAGGGUGACCGGCCACAUUGGGACUGAGAUACGGCCCAGACUCCUACGGGAGGCAGCAGUGGGGAAUAUUGCACAAUGGGCGGAAGCCUGAUGCAGCAACGCCGCGUGCGGGAUGACGGCCUUCGGGUUGUAAACCGCUUUCGCCUGUGACGAAGCGUGAGUGACGGUAAUGGGUAAAGAAGCACCGGCUAACUACGUG